CUACCUCUCCCACUAGUUUAAAACAAAGUAACAGUAGUAUUAAGCAUUCAGCUAGAAAUUCAACAAUCCACAGAAUUAUGGUGCAUUCAUUUUGUUUCUUACCACACAAAAGGACUGCACUACAAAAAGGUAAAGUGCAACUUAAAUGAUGAACUAAAUAUGAGAGAAGUAGCUAGGAGGAUUAUUUUUUUAAAAGAACAAAGUGAAGUGGGAAACUGUAAGUUGUACCUUGGAAGUAGAGCAGACUGCUGAACUUGGAGACAAAUAUAAUCCACAGUACUCCACACGAGAGGGAAAUUUUACACUUGAGAAAUCCAAUUUUGGUGACAAAUUUCUUGAAAUUUCACUGACACGAGCACUGAUACCAAAAUGGUGGUCAAAACUAGCAGUGCCCAUGAUGGAAACCAGAGAGUUUCUUCAGCAAAAAUGAUCAAGUGCAAGAAAAUGAAACCAUUAAAAUAUCCAGGCUGCCAAAAAAAAAAAAGUCCCUGAAAAAUUCUUCAGUUGAGAGUUCAACAGCUAAAAAUUACACGCAGAAGAGAGCCUCCUGGACGCAUUUCUCGACUCUCAAUCAGAAACAAAGGGAUAAGACGACCAGCGUAUUUCUUGAAAAUUUGUCGGUAGCGAAGAAGAAUAUGGG
rnacentral:lncRNA from 1 species